rnacentral:lncRNA from 1 species
UCAUAUUCGAAGGUCCUUGAGCCGCAUAUGUGUCCGAUCUCUAAAGAUAUCCAUCGGGAUCAACCUUGAAUCUUUCUUCUCAUGGUAGAUCCUUCUUCUCCAAGUAGGAUCUUUGUCUCUUUGAACUUUGAUCAGCAAUUGAUCUUGACUGCAACUUUAACCCUUGAACUGCAGUCUUCUUCUCCUUGAUCCUUGCUAUAGAAGAGACCCUUCUCUUGGCAUAUGGAAGAUGGACACCCAACACUUGGACAUGAGAAAAAGAAAAGGG